UUUAACUCUCUGCAGACACUGUCUGUUCCAAAAAGGCUCAUCUGUUGUAGUUCUUAGUAAAUAUUCCAUUCAAUUUGUAUUCACAUUCAUCCAGCAUGUUACAUCUGCAUCACCUUUUGUUUCCUUGUUAUCCCAUUCUUUCCACCAGAAAAAAAAAAAAGGAAAUCCAAACACCAAAUCAAAAUAGAAGCUGAAAACUCUCAUUUGCUAAUCAAACUUGGGACAAGAGGUAAUUAAUUCUUUGGAAUCAGUCAAUUAAUUUGCAUAAUAAGAGGUACCAUAAUUGUGACUUCUGCUACUCAAGCCCAAAAUUGUAAUUAGAGAUUUAGUCUGCAUUACAGCAGAAAAGCCUGUUUUUUGGGAGCUGCUUCAGAGAGGAGAUUGAGCAUCCGUUGCUCUGGGAUGGAAACACUGGCAGAGUUGCAUCAGAAUAAAAGCGUUUCCUCCACAGCUCUCCUCUUGCUCGGCCCUGAGGGGAAGUGCUGGGAGGACUGAUCUUCUAAUCGGUAAAGAACCAAGACCUCAGCUUUCAGGGGCCCCAGUCUCUUACAAGUCUACCAGGGACCCUGUUCCUCGUCUUUUUCUCCUCAGCUUAUUUUCCCCGACUCCAUUUGCAAUUAUUUAUCUGCAAUAAUUUCUACAGUCUGUACCGCUGCCACGAAAAAAAAAAGGGGGGGAGCUGGAAGAUGAAGGGUUGCAUUAUGGUGGUGAUAUUAGCCUUCUGCUGCGUGCUCACUCAGCUGUGCGGCCUGGACAGAAGAAAAGAGAGGAGAAGAAAAAAAAAAGGGCAAUGCAAAGCAUAAAAUAAAAUAAGGGAGGAAAUGUCACUGGGUGUCGUGAGAGGACUCAGAUCGAUUCUAGUUAAUCAUCCACUUUACUUUCCUAUAUAAGGUCAAUUAAAAGACUCCAGUCAUUUGGAGGAUAUAUGAUGCUGGACCGCAAAGCAAACAAGAGGGAAUUCUAUCCUUCUUUUGUGUGCUUUGUUUGGCAUUUUGUGCACAAUUUGAUACAGACAUGCUGAUUUGUGUUUGUAUUCAUGUGGGCAUUGUUGUACUGAACAUACAGAGCCUCAUAUAUGUAGUAUAAGACUCUGGAGGAGGUAGUGUUUUCCUUUUUGCUUUUUCUUUGGUAUUGUUCUUUUGCACGUGCAAGGAAAUUAGGUCUGAGCAGUAAAACAGCAUUAUAAGGCUUGCAAUAUGAACAUCGCCUUUCAUUCAAUUCCAGUGAGCUAGUAAUGUGAUUAAAUAUCAUAAAAUCUUGAUGCAGGGUGGUUCAUUUUGUAGCAGACACAUUCUAUCACACUUACUGUAACGCUGGCUGGGGUCAGCACAUACACAUCAUGUGUCUGCUAUCUCUCGCAUGAACAACUUUAAGAAAAUGUCAACAGGAUGUCAGGAUUAGAUCAUUUACUAGCGGAAGCAAAGGUGAACCCAAGCCGCACAAAUACAGUAAGUCUGAAGAGUUGACAUAAACAUCACCAGUCAACUUGGCUACUAUAUGAGACUAGGCUUACUAUUCUUUGUGUUACCUCAAAUGUUGGUUUUUCCACUCAUGGCUUACAUGUUGCAUUUGGUUUUUGUUGAGUAGUCUCUAUAUAUAGUAGUCCUGCUCUGUUGCAUGACCAAAACUACUUUUUCACUCUGUUUGAGGGCAGUCUCUGCACUCUGGGCCUUAAUUCUGAUUAGCUAGUGGUCUUUUCCUCAUCCUCAUCUUGUCGCUGGACAGGAUUGAUUGGUGUAGGCAGCUCGUGUCAGCCAUGAUUGUGUUUAACUUGCUUUGCUUUGAGAGGGGAUCAAGUCUUUCAUGUCAUAAGGCUCAAGUCCAAGUGGAGUCACUGGUGUUCAAGUGAAUAUUCAUGAAGUCGACACGGCAGUAAAUUGAACGAAGGCUGUUGUAAAAUGCGGUGACAGUAGCUGAGGGCCCAGGGCUGUUGCUCCCUGCCAGGGUGAAAGGCAUUGAGCUGAAUGUGGUGCAGACUUCCUCUGAUAGAGUAUUAACUGAACGGUGGAAACAGCUGGAGUUACAUAACAGUUCCUCUGCAUUUAGUCUGCUCAGAUGGAGAAAAGCUGUGGCGCUCUAAGGGGCUGAUGGGAACCUGCACUAAUUCAAGCAUGCAACCCAUGAGCAGCCACCCCCACCCCCCCAUCAUCCCCAGUUUGUAUCCUGCUCUUACAUGGUCACAACUGCAUACUGGGAUGCAGGCCAGACUUGGCAAACCAGACGCUGCUGUUCCAGAGACCAAUGCAUAUAUAUUUAUCAUCUCUGCUUUCACUGAGAAUGGAUCAAUCUGAGAUUUUAGACGUUGUUCAAUAAAUGAUAAAUUGACAAUAGUUUUGGCAGUUCUUGAAUUGAGUACCGGC